GGUGGGGUGGCCGAGUGGUUUAAGGCACCGCACUUGAAAUGCGACAUACGGGUAACCGUAUCGUGAGUUCGAAUCUCACCCCCACCG
rnacentral:tRNA from 1 species